rnacentral:rRNA from 1 species
GACGAACGCUGGCGGCGUGCUUAACACAUGCAAGUCGAACGGUGAAGCGCCUUCCUUUUUGGUGGGUGUGGAUGAGUGGCGAACGGGUGAGUAACACGUGAGUAACCUGCCCCCUUCUUCUGGAUAACCGCAUGAAAGUGUGGCUAAUACGGGAUAUUCUGGGUCUGUCGCAUGAUGGGUCUGGGAAAGAUAUUGUUUCGGUGGGGGAUGGGCUCGCGGCCUAUCAGCUUGUUGGUGGGGUGAUGGCCUACCAAGGCGGUGACGGGUAGCCGGCCUGAGAGGGGGGAGGGCCACAGUGGGGAUGGACCCCGGCCCAGCCCCCUCGGGGGGGGGGGAGGGGGGAAUAGUGCCAAAGGGGGGCAAGCCGGAAGCAGCGACGCCGGGUGGGGGGGGGGGGCCGUGGGGUGGGGAACCCUUUCCGCCGGGGAAGAAGGCCCGCCUCUUUUUUGGGGGGGUGGAGGGUAGCUGGAAAAGGAGCCGCGGCAAAAUGCGU